rnacentral:rRNA from 1 species
AUUGAACGCUGGCGGCAGGCCUAACACAUGCAAGUCGAAUGGUAACAGGAAACAGCUUGCUGUUUCGCUGACGAGUGGCGGACGGGUGAGUAAUGUCUGGGAAACUGCCUGAUGGAGGGGGAUAGCUACUGGAAACGGUAGCUAAUACCGCAUAACGUCGCAAGACCAAAGAGGGGGACCUUCGGGCCUCUUGCCAUCAGAUGUGCCCAGAUGGGAUUAGCUAGUAGGUGGGGUAACGGCUCACCUAGGCGACGAUCCCUAGCUGGUCUGAGAGGAUGACCAGCCACACUGGAACUGAGACACGGUCCAGACUCCUACGGGAGGCAGCAGUGGGGAAUAUUGCACAAUGGGCGCAAGCCUGAUGCAGCCAUGCCGCGUGUAUGAAGAAGGCCUUCGGGUUGUAAAGUACUUUCAGCGGGGAGGAAGGGAGUAAAGUUAAUACCUUUGCUCAUUGACGUUACCCGCAGAAGAAGCACCGGCUAACUCCGUG